UCAUGGUCUCUCUGCUACCGAUUCUUCACUCCCUUUGCUAUCACCGAUCCAACUCUCUCUAUCAUCAUCGUUUUGUUUUGAAUUCAGUAACAGCAAACAUACAAACCUUCAAUGUUACCCUUUAUCCCAAACAAACCCUAAGCCCCAAUUCGUUAUUGAUUUUCGGUGAUUUCAAGAGUAUAUUUACAAGUGAAUCAAAGCAAUUGAAAGGAAAAUAACAACGGGAAUGAAAAGCCGGACCUACAGAUGAUCUUCUUCAGGUAUCAGCUUCAUGUUUUUCUCCCGCUUGCAAAACUCUUGUUCUUCCUUCUAGGCCUGGCUAUGGAAAACUUGGGACAAAGUGUGUUGUCAAAGCUAAUCACUUUCUUGCAGAUAUAUCAGUAUCUGACUUGAGCCAAUAUGAUGAAUUCAAAGGCUAUGUUUUCCAAAUUACUGGAGGGUGUGACAAGCAAGGUUUUCCAAAGAAGCAAAGGAGUGUUAAAUCCCGUCCGUGUUCGCCUCUUGCUCCACCGAGG